UGAGUUUAAGGCAAGUAUAGCAUGGGAUCAUCCUUGUUUCCUAUUAACUUUAAUCACACAAUUCAUAUUGCAUGUGUCUCCUUGAUAAGGAUUUCCUAGUAUUGAUCUUAUACCUUGUCACCUACGGUUUUGCAUUGGGUAGCUUAUGCUAGUGCUCCACUAAACCAUGAUCUUGUAAUUUGAUUAAAGGAAUAUGCAAUGAACAUUAAAAGAUGACUUUUUUGGCAAAUUUGGAAAAGAGGGCUGGAGCAUUGGGCUAUCUUAUGGUGCUCUAGUUUCUCUCCAUAAGGACUUAUCUGUAUCUGACCAUCCGGGACAUACAGUACAACUGUGAGGGCUACAUGGCUCUGGCUUUAGCUCAGUAUGAGGACCUUUUCUAGCUUGUUAGUGGUUACCCUUGUGGCGCAAGUGGGGGAUAGCAGACCGUGGAUUCCUGCAGGUGAGUCACACGGACUGACUAACGAAACCAAGCGGCCCUAACUUGUUAGACGAACCUUUAAAAGGCUUCAUAGUGAACCCUGCCGACCUCCCUAGGAAGGGGGUUAAGAGACUCGCGACCUCGGGCGAAAGGGUAAAUCACGACUCACAGUGAAAGUGUACAACCUCUGCAGAGUGUAAAACUGAUAUAUCAGCCGUGCUCACGGUCACGAGCGGCCUUGGACCAAUACAGAAUAAAUGAUCACUAAUGGCAAAUCAUUAAUGUUAUUAUUGUUAAUAUGAUGUUUAUGCUAUUCUUUAUUCACUUUACUUGAUCAUGAGUUUGCUUUGGGACUUGACAACUUGAUGCUACUCAAAUGUUAAAAUUGUGACAACUAAAAACUACAUGCAGUUCAACCAGUGUCUAGCCUUUGAGCCUCAUGAACCCCAUGUUAUUCUUGCUGAGUACGAGAUGUACUUACGCUUGCCUUUAUAUUUUAUUUGGAUAAAAAUCCCGGAUGGGUACCAGAUUGCAAGCUUGGAAAAGAGUUUAGGCUUGUGCUCAACCAGUCAGUUGUCCCUGUGGAUUUGGAGCUUUCGCCUGAAGAACGGAGUGUCUUUCCGCUGUUUGCUAUCUAAGGUUAUAUCUUUUAUACUAAGUUCGUUACAUAUAAGCAUUGUCUAUUGAUAUUACCCCUAUUUGUGGCUAUAUGUGAGAUUUGACUUCCUGGGCUCACAUAUGGUGUGUAUCUGGUUUUGUUCUUAAAACCGGGUGCUACAAAGUGGUAUCAGAGCAAUGCUGACUGUAGGACGCAAGCCUAGUUAGAAAUGAGUCAUCUUAAGGUUUUGAAAUUGUUAUAACAGCCUUGCUCUAUGAACCUUGGUAUUUUCUUCUAUACUAUAUCUCUACCCUUGCUAUUCCUUCCUACUUUGUUGCUUAUUUUAAAAAUCUUUGUUCUAAUCUUUACUCCUUGAUUUGGUAUGCUUUUAGAACCUUCUCUUAUCUCUUCUUGUGUCUUCGAAAUAGAACUUUUAGGAUCUUUGCCCUUACUAUGAAGAGAACGAUAGUAUCGCAAGUUGCGUGAAGUGUGAACCUCUAAUGCUUAAUUGGUUGUUAUUAUGUUUAUGCUUGAUUUGGAUCUUUGUAAUGUGUGCAAUGAUUUUGUGGGAUUUCUCCAUAAUAUCAUUUAGUUUAUAGGCCUAAGGCAUAAGGUGUAGUGAAAUAAGUAGUUGGGUUUGGUUAUAUCCUGUUUCUGUUCCUUGCUGAUUUCUGGAGCAGUUUGCAAUAAUAUUGGUAUAUCUCAAGUUGUCAUCGUGCAAAGUUUGUCCACUUUUUCUGGGAACAACUAGACUCCAAGAUCUUUCUUUGACCCCAAUAAUCACCCCCUUAUCUAUUUUGGAAUUGGAGUUAUGAAAAUCACAAGUUGAUGCAGUUGCGCUGUCCAGAAUCUGGACCAGUUUUGGGAACUGCUGUUUGAGACAAAUAUAACUAUAGAAUUUGGAAAAGUGUUCUAUAGAAAAGUUAUAGACAAUUUUCUAAGAUUUCUAAAGGUAUAAGCUGGAACUUAUUUGGAUAAGUAGAACCUGAGAUAUGAUAUUUACAAUUGGAUGUUUCUGUUCUGUAUCAAAGUCUGGACAGUUUUGGUAUUCCCUAUUUUCAGCCAAGUUAAAUGCAGAAUCUGGGAAAACGUUAUAUACUAAAGUUGUAGAGGAUUUCAUAAGAUUUUCAACAAUAUAAGGAUCGUCUCCAUAUGAUUUAUGUAGCUCGAGAUAUGACAGCUGCAAGUUACUGCAUAGGUGCUGAGACACUGUCAGGAGGAAUAUUAUGUAUGGCUGUUUUACCUAAGUUUCAAGACAGAACCUAAGGAAGUCUUCUAUAUGAAAGUUGUGGUGAAUUUCAUAAGUUUUCUAACGAUAUAAGCUACAACUCUAUUGGAUUCACAGAAUAAGGGUUAUGUCUGUUUUACUACACUGGUGUUUUCAUAUCACAAGAAAAUUUCAGGAUACCUGUUUGUUCUCUUGCACAUAAGUUCUUUGGGAUGUCAGACGGUCUUAAUGCUAGUCAACUUGACUGGAAAAAGUGCAAGCUACCUUCCUUGUGUCCCCUAGUUGACCUUUCUUAAGGGGGGUAGUCUUAUCAAAGGAGUUACAGGGAGAAGUAAUGGUUAACAUUGGAUCAUCGAUAAGGACCUCAAGUGUUUGGAAAUUUUGGUUUUGAUACAGGAAAUUGUUCCAUUGAAGUGUGAUAAUAAGGAUGGAGAUAUAGGUCAUUGCUGGUACUCAUAGCUUGGAAGUGGUGCUUAUGAGAAUCAGGUGAAACCAAAGUCUACAAAGUUAUACAUGGGAUGUGAGAGCAAAGCAAUUCAACUCUGUUAGAGGUACCAAUAGUUGGAACGUAGUGAUGAAACCAACUCUAGAUCAUGAGACUUGGUACAGUGAUUUUAAAAGACCAUAUGAUGUGAAUCAUCUAGACAGUAUAUGAAGAGAUAGUCCAUACUGUCCCCCUACCUAUCUCCUUUUAAGGGGGGUAGUGCCUUGACAUUAUUGGUUAAGGCCCUUUCAAUUUAUCAUGAAGUGAGAAGUUGUCUCUGGAGAUAUCCCAUGAAUAUAAUCAUCUAUCCUAGCUCAAGAUAGUGAAAUUGGUCACUUGACAACUUAGGAAGUGGAUAUGCUACAUGUACUGAUGACUCUACGGAGACUCAAAAGACUUCACUGCUAAAGAGAGCAUGACCAGUAUGUUCUAGUUGAUGGAAGUUCUCGUCUAGGAGAUGUCAUCUUUAAUGAUGGACUUAAGAAAGUUAAAGAUACAAGAGUCGGAAACCACCAAAGGAAAGUGAAUGAGACUUAGAUUUUCAUAAAUAUCGCAAGAGGCUAUCAUAGGUUUGCUGGGGCCAAUGUGAUCUUGACAUAAGAGUAAAUAACAGAUUGACUUGGAAUGAUAAGAUUCUAUCAGUGGUUCACUAAAGGUGUUAUAAAGAUCAACAUAUAGGGUUCCUCUACUCCAUCAAGACCUUAGAUGUGCUCCAUACAAGGAAAGUAGUGGCUGGUGCAUAAGUCAACUAAGUGGGUUGGAUUAACUGACAUGUGAUGUGGAGGUAUCCAUAGUGGAGCAUGGAGGUACUGUCUUCUUGGGUCUAAGGAGUGAUAUCUGUGUAGAACGUAAGAAACUAAAGGGCAUCUUUAGGAAGUUGGAUUUGAGAUGGUCACAUUGUCGAUGGAUUCGAGUGAAUCAAGAGUUAUGACUGGGAAAAUGCUAUCACUUGAAGGAGAAAAAGCCUUUGCGAAUGCUCAGAGCAUAAAGAGUGUGCUAGAGGAGUUCAAAUGACACAUAAAUUUGAAAGGUUGAGUGUUGAACUGGGUGAUGAUACUAGUACUGCAAAAGGAGCUCUAUUAAUUACUCAUUUUGGGAACCACAUGAAUUGCAAAGAUUACUUAGAAGAUAUGUUCUGAGCUUGUGUAUUGCAGUAUGGUACAAAGAGGUUACCGUAUGCGAAGUUUCUUAGAACAACAGUUAGUAGAGGAGCCUUCAGUGGGAGCCUUUUGAAAGCUUGUAUGGAUGUAAGUGUAGAACCCCGUUGUUUUGAAAUCAAAUAGGUAAACACAAGUGUUUGGGCCAGAUGUUCUAAGAGAUGCAGAACAACAAGCGAGAGUGUUCAGGGAUAACUUAAGGGUGGCACAGUCCCAACAAAAGAGAUAUGCUGACAACCGAAGAGAAGAAUAUUCAAUGUUAAGAGUAUCCACAUCGUUUUGGAAACCAUCUUCCGAAUCUCGAGGACGAGAUUCAUCUUAAGGGGGGUAGAAUUGUAACACCCUAAAUUUUGUUUCUUUGAAAAUAGAGCUAAAAUAAUUUAUUUUGUAUUUCUGUGCUCAUGAAAAUAUAGUAAAAUGAAAUUUUUCCUUAAAUUAAAAUUCAUCAUAAGGUUUAGCAACGUUGUUGUGCAUACAUGCUGGUACAUAUGUUUGAUGUAAUGUUUGAUUGUUGCUCCUUUGUGUGUUGAGAGUAAGCAAAGUUUUUAAAAUUGCGUUAAGUAGAACGAUCUUCCUUGGUCGGUACAUCUUUAUCUUUAUCUACAACCAAAUUCCUUAUUCCUCAGCUCAAGUUUUUAUUAGGAGCUUCCUAAAAUCUUUUCUUUGUCAUCCAACUCACUCAUUUCAGUUCCUCGUUCAUCAAACAAUAUCUACAAUCUUAUUAGGAAUUUUUCUAGCUUUUUCUGAAAUUUGUUUCCACUUGUCUGUGAGCAUAAUCUAAUUUUUAGAUGCUCCAAUUUAUCUCAUCAUGAACUUCAAAUACUUUAUUUGGGUUCUUCAUGUUCCAUAAUGUCUCCGAGAAUUUUGUCCGAAUUUUCAGAGCUUUCGGAGUAUUUUCGCAGGCGUAAAUAGUAAUUCUAGACUUUUCAAGAAUUAUUUUAUCGACAAAAAAUAAUUAAUUCCGAAAAUAAUAAAUCCUUCAUUUUAUCUCAACGCUCAGCCCAUGAUCUCAAAGGCCAAUAUAUCUUUUUACUAGUGGGCUUAAAUAAUUAAUCAGGCCAAUUAGUAAAGUUGGAGGUUGCAACAUUGAUUAGUACCAUAUCGCCCGUUAAUGUGAAGGUGGGGAGUUUUCCCCCUAUAUAUAUAUAUGUACUAACCCCUUAAACAAAGCACACCAAUAUCUACCGUAGGGGGAGUCCCUGGUUUGGCAAAUCCUUCGUGUAGUAAAUUAAAAUUUUCUUUCUUCUUGACACCGUCGGUUAGCUCUGACGAUUUCUUCGGCGAGCUUUUCCGGUCAUCUCGAGUGUCUUUGAUGAGGAUCACUACCACGAGGUUUGUCUCACCGUUCUCUACCCCAUAGUCUUUCUUUGCAUCGAUCUAUCAUCGUUUGAAUAUUUAUUUUCCAUCUUCUAUGUUUUUGUCGGUGAUCCCGACAUCUCCUUGCUGCAGCUACCUCUCCUACCGCCGCCCGUGCUUCGUCCAAGCUGUCAUCAGUCUCCAAGAUGGACACGGUCUUGCCACCGUACGAUUGCUCCGAUCAUCAUCAGUCAUCUGUUGCUUGACUGCAUGACUCCGUACAAGCUGCCUCCGGACGGCGAGUCACCCCGGCCUAUUCCUCACUCCUUUGCCGAGCUUCCUUCAACCAGUCAACAAACACCAUGCAUGCCAAGUAUGAUACGUUUUGCCUAUAAUCCAUUCUAUCUACUAUAUGAUCUUCAAAUAAUUAGCUAUCAGCAUAUGUAUCCAUUGGUCAGGCGUUGCAGUCCACUAGCACCCUUUGCUCCCUGCUGCCUUCAUCGUCUCAUCCUUCAGCGCUAGCAACUACAGGAAAUUCACGCCUACUGAACAAUAAUCAUCAACCAGCUGUAACCACCGUAAACAACCAGCCAGCGAUGCGGAUCAUGGUACAGAAUUUCUACAGAACAAAUCUUCACUUUCUGUAUCUAGCGUGAGCAUUCUGUUCGUGUUCUUCCUUGUUUAUUUCUAUGUGCUAACAACGUUGACGUGUUACAGACUAGCGUUCAUAGAUUAAUUAUUAAUUUAAUUAAUUCAGUUUAAGAAUUCGUGUAUAUAUAUGUAUAUUCUCAUAUGAUUAAUUUAUUUUAAUCUACACGACAAUAAUUGUAAAUAAAACAUAAAUAGCUUUAACCCGACUUUUGGAUUAAAUUAUGUUUUGAUUAAUCUAAUCUUAAUGUUUUUUUACAUGGUUUUGCUUAAAUAAAACAAAUCAAGUAUGUAGGCUUUUCUUUUCUUUUAUAAUAUAAAUUUUACGGUAGUCGUCUUCGUUGUCGGCAUUUCUUGUGAAUUUGUUUUAGCCAUAAAAUAUUUGUUUUAACUCCGAUUUGACCCAUUCAAAUUGCGUUAGGUUCGUUUUUGCGUAAUCCAUAGAUUAGUAGCACUGUUAUACAUGUUUCCAACUUUUUAAAUCUGAGCUUAGAUUUAAUCUAUUAUUUUAUUAAAGGAAAUCUUAGGAAAAUCAUAACUUAUUCGUUAUAGCUCCGAUUUUCGUGAUCUUUACGUCUGUGUGAUCGUAGAGCGAUGUAGAUUUGUUUUAUAAACUUUUUAUCUUUAUUUGCUACUGUUGGUGUAUUGUUCUAAUUAUAGGUUUGUUUUGCUUUGUAUGAUUGCCUCUGGAUGAUUGUUGUUGAUGUGAUGACUGAGUUUAGUCGGUGAGCUUUUACGUGGUGAUCAAGAAGCAGUUUGUGGAAGGUUUGGAACUAAAAGAAGGAUCUGAGUUUAAGGCAAGUAUAGCAUGGGAUCAUCCUUGUUUCCUAUUAACUUUAAUCACACAAUUCAUAUUGCAUGUGUCUCCUUGAUAAGGAUUUCCUAGUAUUGAUCUUAUACCUUGUCACCUACGGUUUUGCAUUGGGUAGCUUAUGCUAGUGCUCCACUAAACCAUGAUCUUGUAAUUUGAUUAAAGGAAUAUGCAAUGAACAUUAAAAGAUGACUUUUUUGGCAACUUUGGAAAAGAGGGCUGGAGCAUUGGGCUAUCUUAUGGUGCUCUAGUUUCUCUCCAUAAGGACUUAUCUGUAUCUGACCAUCCGGGACAUACAGUACAACUGUGAGGGCUACAUGGCUCUGGCUUUAGCUCAGUAUGAGGACCUUUUCUAGCUUGUUAGUGGUUACCCUUGUGGCGCA
rnacentral:lncRNA from 1 species